GCAAACUUGGUCAUUUAGAGGAAGUAAAAGUCGUAACAAGGUUUCCGUAGGUGAACCUGCGGAAGGAUCAUUAAUAAAGGCUUGUCGAGUCUAACUCGACAUUCCUGAUCAUACCCUUUGUGCACUUUUGAUAAUGCUUUGGUAGAUUUUUUCAAAUCUACCAAAAGUUUUAUUUUAAAAGCCUUUUUUCAUGUCUGAAAUAUAAAAAAUUUAAUUUCAAAUACAACUUUCAACAACGGAUCUCUUGGCUCUCGCAUCGAUGAAGAACGCAGC
rnacentral:misc_RNA from 1 species